rnacentral:misc_RNA from 1 species
GAUGUAGAACGUAGCGAAAUGCGAUAAGUAAUGUGAAUUGCAGAAUUCAGUGAAUCAUCGAGUCUUUGAACGCACAUUGCGCCCCCUGGUAUUCCGGGGGGCAUGCCUGUCCGAGCGUCAUUGCUGCCCUCAAGCACGGCUUGUGUGUUGGGCCCCGCCCCCCGGCUCCCGGGGGGCGGGCCCGAAAGGCAGCGGCGGCACCGCGUCCGGUCCUCGAGCGUAUGGGGCUUCGUCACCCGCUCCGUAGGCCCGGCCGGCGCCCGCCGGCGACCCCCCUCAAUCUUUUCAGGUUGACCUCGGAUCAGGUAGGGAUACCCGCUGAACUUAAGCAUAUCAAUAAGCGGAGGA